GCCAGCUGUGAGGAUGAAGCAGCUUCAUAGCCGGAGAUCGGACGCCUCCCAUCAGUUUCCCUUUUCAGCAAUAGAGGCCUUAGAUGCCUUUCCACCUGCGUUGCAUCCUGUGGCUGACCACUCCAACGAUCUCGGCAGAAUCGUUACACAGGAAGAAGUCCGACUGGCCCCAAGCCUAGUGUGAAAUGAAGAAAUGGCACUCCACAUCAAUCCAUGUUUACUUGUCGUCAUAGCCAGUCUGUUAGCUUAAUUUUUGGUUCUUCCUAAUGAAUUCCCAAGAAAGGCACCAACUCUCAUUCAUUGGAAACAAAUUUUUGCACUUGGGGACGCAGCCAUGCACAAAGCCUUUGAGCUCAAUAAUAUCUUUAUUUCUUAAAGAAAGUGCAGCUCCUGCGUGGAGCAAUAGGUUGAAUAAGAUGAGGGUAAAUGAAAACUUGGCAACAUUAGUCACCAAAAGUUGUCCAACAAAGGAAGUCUCAUGCUGCAGCCAACAUCUUUGUAAUGGAACCAAAUGGCUCCAGCCUGAAACAUUCGUUGUUCAACCUGGCAAGUCUCCUUGUCGAAAUAUUUCCUCUAGCCUGAGACCUAUAUCCGUUCCACCACCCUCGACCAACAAUACACCUAUACAUUUGGCAACCCAUGGCAAGGUAACAAAUUCACAGUCAAAGAAAGAGAAGAUAGUGUGCACCCUGGAAGGUAGCAUGAACAGUAUUUUAUUUACUUAAUGAAAUGCAGCUUUGCUAUCCAAUUACUUUAUUUUGAUCCCCAUUUUAUAAUUGGACAGCAUUGUUCCUCAGGGAGAAUAAUAAUUCAAAGCUCACACAAUUUUGCACCUUUAUCUCCGUUAAAUCUGUCCUG
rnacentral:lncRNA from 1 species